CGUUUUUUUAACCAAACCGUCUCUUUUUUUUCUUGUGUGCUUUGUGACAGAACAGACCUGUGCUUGAGCCCUACAGUGACGCUGCAACUAUGAACGAGAGAUCGCUGGUUCGAAUCCCAGUCAUGCUGCUUGCCUUCAGCCGCCGGAGCCCUGAGAAAGCACAAGUGGCUGUGCUCUCUCUGGGUGGGAAGAUGGCGCUCUCUCAAGCGCUGCACGUGUCACAGCUAUUCCCACUGGUCAGCUCCACACUGUGAUGGGGACGACCCUCUGAGACGCCAAAGAACUGCUGAGAAGAAUACAAAACGAGAGAGAAAGAGAGAGAGAGAACCCAGUAGAACUGCCUGCGGUAAAGAACCUUGCUGAAAGGAGAAAGGGCAUGGAACAGUACAGAACCUGCUGUUAUGGUGCUUUCAAAAGAAGUGUGCUAUCUGCCUGGCUGUUUACUAAUCUCUAACAUGAAUAUGAAUAUUACUUCAAAAUAAGAUUUGCUUAUUAAAUUUACAUGAACUGAAUUUGAACCUAAAUCUUUAAUCCUAAAUCUCUGGUCUGAGGGGGAAGGCAAUCCAAAAGAAGAUGAUCACAGCUGCACAGUCCUGAAGUUCCUCUAGAGCAGACCUGGGCAUAGUAUAGUAAUAGUACUGUAGUAGUAGUAAUCUCAUAUCACAUAACAUAAAUUCUUUUAAAUAAUCUUGCCGUAGUUAAUUUAAACAGAGACUAAAUGACUGCACUAGAAUCAGUCAGAUGUUGUUGGUGCUGAUGUUUAGAGAUCUGUUGAUUUGUGUCACUGCAGCUCGGCUCAGUCUGAUCUCAGUCUUGCUGUUUUGUCAUAUGAUGGUUUUGCUUUGCUCUUCUUACCAGCAUAAGAGAAGUUAUAUCUAAAGGGUUUCCUGGUCUUAUAGAGUUCCCCAGUUUAGCUGCAUUAAUUAGCAUAAUUGUCAGAUCCACUGCCAGCUGAUCAGAGAAGACUGUUAUUGAGUGUUUUCCAGGGUAAGUUAAUUUAUUACACUCAGGUAUCAUCAGUAAUCAACUCCUAAUGUCGAUUCCUGACAAGCCUUAUACAGUCCUUACAAGACAAUUAAGGUCUAAUAGCUGAGAUUAACUGAGACUAACAGAUUUUUCUAGAAAGGCAUUUAAACAUUUAAUGCAGAUAAAGGUCAUGUAGAAUGUAAACAGCAUCUGUCCUCUCAUUUUGAGAAUCAUUGUAAGGACGGGGUCUGUUAAGAAUAAAAACAACUAAAAAUUUAUGAAGUUCUAAAAA
rnacentral:lncRNA from 1 species